AACAUGGCUCAGAACGAACGCUGGCGGCAGGCCUAACACAUGCAAGUCGAACGAGAAGCCACCUUCGGGUGGUGGACAGUGGCAGACGGGUGAGUAACGCGUGGGAACGUGCCUUUCGGUUCGGGAUAACCCAGGGAAACUUGGGUUAAUACCGGAUACGCCCUUCGGGGGAAAGAUUCAUUGCCGAAAGAUCGGCCCGCGUCGGAUUAGCUAGUUGGUAGGGUAAUGGCCUACCAAGGCGACGAUCCGUAGCUGGUCUGAGAGGAUGACCAGCCACACUGGGACUGAGACACGGCCCAGACUCCUACGGGAGGCAGCAGUGGGGAAUAUUGGACAAUGGGCGAAAGCCUGAUCCAGCCAUGCCGCGUGGGUGAAGAAGGCCUUAGGGGUUGUAAAACCCUUCAGCGGGGAAAGUAUAAAUGACGGGUAACCCGGCAGAAGAAGUCCCGGCUAAAUUCCUGUGC
rnacentral:rRNA from 1 species